UAGAAGAAUCUGUAAAGCUCAGGAGGGAUAGCGCCAUGGAUGGUCAUUGCUCAUCUCUCUUCUCUUUCCUCCCUUUGCCUCUUUGAUCUUCUCUUGCGCUAUCCAUCCUGAGUUUCAUGGCUUCUUUCU
rnacentral:pre_miRNA from 1 species